UACAGAGGGUGCGAGCGUUAAUCGGAGUUACUGGGCGUAAAGGGUGCGUAGGUGGUUUGAUAAGUUGGGUGUGAAAUUCCUGGGCUUAACCGAGGAACUGCGCUCAAUACUGUUGAGCUAGAGUACUGUAGAGGAAGGUGGAAUUUCCAGUGUAGCGGUGAAAUGCGUAGAUAUUGGAAGGAACAUCAGUGGCGAAGGCGACUUUCUGGUCAAAUACUGACACUGAGACACGAAAGCAUGGGGAGCAAACAGG
rnacentral:rRNA from 1 species